CACUAGAGAGGCUAGCAAUGGUGGAAGGUGAAAGUGCAUCUAUACCAUGGACCCGCAAUAGUCAUGAAGAACUCACAUACUUGUUGUGCAAGUUUUUAUUAGUAAUUGAAACAAAGUGCUAAACGCAUACUCCGAGGGGAAGGGUUGGUAGGUGUUAACCAUCGCGCGAUCCCGACCUCAACACAAAGGAUGACAAUCAAUAAAUCAAUUAUGCUCCGACUUCCUCACAUAGCGGUUCACCAUACGUGCAUGCUACGGGAA
rnacentral:lncRNA from 1 species